UCCGAUUUUAAAAAUAAAAAAAUUAGAACUGGAUCGAUUUUGACCGGUUUUAAGAAAAAUAAACCGGUACCAGAUUGAACCAAACUCGAGACUGAACCGAUCCCACCGGUUUGGUCUUGUCCGGUCCGAUUGACUGGUUUAUCAACUUUUUUUUACACCCCUACCUGGGGCCAGAUAAUCAAAGUUAGACCAUUGACUUUGAUUUGUUUAAUCGCCAUUUGUACGAUCUUACCGUCUGUACAAGCUAGCAUGCAUCAAAGUCAGAGUGUAACCUAAUAGAAUUGCUAGAGAGUGGGAAAUCAAUAUUUUCCCAUUCAAACAAAGCUGCAGUUAUCUAAUCAAAUGUCGUGCUGAAUCUUGAUGUAAGGCCAGAGAACCUGUAUAAAUAUACCUCCCCAUAUAACCCCAUUUGCGUUCAUCUUAUAUCCAAUAGUAACAUGCGAUGCAGCUCGGUUCACUCAAGAAGUUACAGGACCCAUAUGUCCUGCUUGUGUAUGUUGCAGACCUGCACCACCGGGGUCUUGUUGCCAAUGUUGCGCUACUCCCAUCGAGACACAAUCCGAGAAUGGGCCUCCCUAAGCUUAGUACCGAUAUCUAUCUUUCAGAUGCUGUCGAGACCUGUGCGGGCAGCAAGAUAUAGAUAUAUCGUGAGUAAAAUGUAUUUCUGCAGUCUACACACCACUUUAAUUAGUUCUGAAAAUAAAUUACUGUUUGUUUUCUGUAAUCAAAUGAAAUGAUUCAUGAAUAAAAAGGGCUUUCUAA